rnacentral:rRNA from 1 species
AGGGAAUCUUCCACAAUGGACGAAAGUCUGAUGGAGCAAUGCCGCGUGAGUGAAGAAGGGUUUCGGCUCGUAAAACUCUGUUGUUAAAGAAGAACACUUCUGAGAGUAACUGUUCAGAAGUUGACGGUAUUUAACCAGAAAGCCACGGCUAACUACGUGCCAGCAGCCGCGGUAAUACGUAGGCGGCAAGCGUUGUCCGGAUUUAUUGGGCGUAAAGCGAGCGCAGGCGGUUUUUUAAGUCUGAUGUGAAAGCCUUCGGCUUAACCGGAGAAGUGCAUCGGAAACUGGGAAACUUGAGUGCAGAAGAGGACAGUGGAACUCCAUGUGUAGCGGUGGAAUGCGUAGAUAUAUGGAAGAACACCAGUGGCGAAGGCGGCUGUCUAGUCUGUAACUGACGCUGAGGCUCGAAAGCAUGGGUAGCGAACAGGAUUAGAUACCCUGGUAGUCCAUGCCGUAAACGAUGAGUGCUAGGUGUUGGAGGGUUUCCGCCCUUCAGUGCCGCAGCUAACGCAUUAAGCACUCCGCCUGGGGAGUACGACCGCAAGGUUGAAACUCAAAGGAAUUGACGGGGGCCCGCACAAGCGGUGGAGCAUGUGGUUUAAUUCGAAGCUACGCGAAGAACCUUACCAGGUCUUGACAUACUAUGCAAAUCUUAGAGAUAGGACGUUCCCUUCGGGGACAUGGAUACAGGUGGUGCAUGGUUGUCGUCAGCUCGUGUCGUGAGAUGUUGGGUUAAGUCCCGCAACGAGCGCAACCCUUAUUAUCAGUUGCCAGCAUUAAGUUGGGCACUCUGGUGAGACUGCCGGUGACAA